AUGCAAGACGAGGCGCGGCCGCCGCCGGCGUGUGUAUCCAAGGUGCUCGACGACGACAAUCUUCUGACGGAGAUCAUCGUCCGCGUUGGCUUCCCCACCAGCCUCGUCCACGCCGCCUGCGUCUGCCGGCGCUGGCUCAGCCACGCCUCCGACCGUGCAUUCCUCCGCCGUUUCCGCGAGCUCCACCCGCCAAGACUCCUCGGCUUCUAUCUUGCACAAAGCUAUCCGUACAACGCCGCACGUUUCUUCCCGAUGCUGCCUCAGCCCCCGGAGCUCGCUGCGGUCAUCCGCCGCACAAACUUCUCCAAAAAAGAAGGAGGUACCAUGGUGGGCUGCUCGAACGGCAGCGUCCUCACCCGCCGCAUAAACUUCAGCGUCCUCAGCCUCACCAACAGCGUCCUCGCCUACGAGCUUGUAUUUGCAGUGCACAGCCCACUGUGCUAUGACAAUGACCAUGGUAUGGCCAUCCUCCCAGGAUUACAGUUCACAAUGCCCUGUUUGCACAAUUGGGCACAACUCUUCUCCAAAGAAGAAGGGGAUGGCUCGUCCUACUUUUAUGUCACCGUGGAGGAUACCAUGCACUACCGGAUGAACGUGUAUAUGUUGCAAACUGGUGAUGAUGCCUGGCACAAACAUCUCACCUUGGGGUCAGACCGCCUCCUGCAUCCACAAUCUAGGCCGAAAGGCGUACUUGUUGACAACAAAAUCUAUUUCGCGACCGACAAUGCAAUUGUUGUCCUAGAUUUGACAUCCUCAAUCUUAUCGACAAUUCAGCUCCCACACGGGGUGGGUUUUGACCUAGGCACCACCAUGUUGUCGCGGGUCGAUGAUGGUUCUGGUGUAUAUCUCAUCCAUAUCAAGGAGCUUCAACUUCAUAUCUGGCUCCACAAUGGGGACAAUUGGUUGCUGGUGGACACCAUUUGCUUGAGCGAAACAUGUGCUGGUUUGCUUGAGGAUGAGCCUACUGCUGAUAUCCAGAUAAACCAUGUGGGGGACUAUAAUGGGUUUGUAUUCUUGGAGAUGGGUCGAUCCGCACUCUACUUGGAUGUCAGGCGCAGGAGGCUGUGUAAAGUGUACGAGAUGACAACAGAGGAGAAAUGUUUGGGAAAUAUCUAUCCUUUAAUGAUGACCUGGCCUCCCAUUUUCCCUACUCUCCGUCCUGCAAGGUUUGCCUUUUAA
rnacentral:rRNA from 1 species